ACGACUCUGAGUGGACAUCGCCUGACUGGAGAGCUUUAGGUAAAGUAUUUUUUGUGUACAUAAGUAUAAAAUCGACAGCCUGUCAUUUAAAUGUACCAUAAACCUAAUGUUCACAUAAACGAGUAUUUCCGUCUUUAUUUUGUACGGCCCGCUCUUCAGCACCGUUAAUUAUCGUUAAUGCCGUUAUAUCUGUGUGACGUCAUUUGCGCAGAUCUGCUAAAAUUGAGAAAACCUCCUUUCGUUUCACAUUCAUGUCGGUCAAGGUAACGUUAGUUUAAAAAAAAUAUAUAGCCUAUAUAUUCAUUUUACAAUUAUUAUUAAUAAUAUUUUCACAUUUAAGCACAUUUAAGUUGUCUGAGUGAGAGCGCGCGACACUGACGCACACUGAACAUAUUCAAGUAUUUAUUCUUUUUUCUUUCUUUUUUCAGAUUGUCAUCUGAUUGUAAGUGAUCAGUCUAGCAGUCAUCCUGGAUCUUGGGUUUGUUCAGUUUGUACAGACAUAUGCAUUAUCUGAUAUUGAGUGAUGCUUUUUCUUGUUCUCCCUUUUGUUUCUGUGUCAGUAGCUGCUGCACCCCAAAGGCUCCACAGCACUUGUCACAAGUCUUUGGCUUUAUUUGUCAAGAUCAUCUGAAAAGGUCACCUAUGCCAUUGAGCUGGAUGGAAAAACUGAGAAGUUUAUAAACAGAUGGCAUGGAUGAAGAGAGCAGGUCCUACAACAAAGAAAUUCUUCUUAAGGCAUAUGCUCCAUAUUUACCAUUUACCAUUGAGUUCAUUGAGAUCUGACUAACUAUGUGUUAAUACAUGUCCCCUCUUUAUCUCUCUUUCCUUUUUUCUG